GCCGUUCGUAGGCUACGCGUACCCACAUCCGGUUUUAUAAAAAUUUGCCAUUGGAUUGGGAAUUAAACGUAAAAUAUAUACAGAAAUUAUCGUAAUUAGUGAAUAAAAUUGAUCAACUACUUAGAAGUUUUGUAAACAUUUAUAUAUAUGUAAGUGAACAGUUUUUCUCGGUUAAUAAAUAUUCUUAAAAUGGGAAAAGAGUGAUAUACAUGUGGGGCAGACAUUUCAAAGUUAUCAUGAAUUGGAACAAUUUGUUCAAAAGUAUCAGUCGAUUAAUUUUAUACAAUUGUAUAUAAAAACAAACUCGGAGUCAAUUGCAGCUGCAGAGAAAAGAAGAACUGGAAACACAAAAAAUAAAGAGGAAAACAAGUUUUACAGAAUAAUUCGUUCCUGUAUUCACGGAGGCAAAAAAUUCUAAACAAGUUCGACAGGAAAAAUUAAUGCCUAAUACAUUAUUUCUGAAAAACAAAGGCCGAUGCCAAUAAUCUUCUAUGAAAGCUUCGUUAAUAAAUAACAAAAUGUUUGACGAAGAUGUAAACCUUCAGCGCAUCAAAAAAUAUUUUGCCUUUGAGGCGUGGAAGCGACUUAAAAUUCGGAUAUUAUAUAUUAUAGGACUAUAGUUU
rnacentral:lncRNA from 1 species